GAUGAACGCUGGCGGCGUGCCUAAUACAUGCAAGUCGAGCGAACAGACGAGGAGCUUGCUCCUCUGACGUUAGCGGCGGACGGGUGAGUAACACGUGGAUAACCUACCUAUAAGACUGGUAUAACUUCGGGAAACCGGAGCUAAUACCGGAUAAUAUAUUGAACCGCAUGGUGCAAUAGUGAAAGACGGUGUUUCUGGCAGUAAUAGAUGGAUCCGCGCCGCAUUAGCUAGUUGGGAAGGUAACGGGUUACCAAGGGGACGAUGCGUAGCCGACCUGAGAGGGUGAUCGCCCACACUGGAACUGAGACACGGUCCAGACUCCUACGGGAGGCAGCAGUAGGGAAUCUUCCGCAAUGGGCGAAAGCCUGACGGAGCAACGCCGCGUGAGUGAUGAAGGUCUUCGGAUCGUAAAACUCUGUUACUAGGGAAGAACAAAUGUGUACGUAACUAUGCACGUCUUGACGGUACCUAAUCAGAAAGCAACGGCUAACUACGUG
rnacentral:rRNA from 1 species